rnacentral:rRNA from 1 species
UACAGAGGGCGCGAGCGUUGUCCGGAAUCACUGGGCGUAAAGGGCGCGUAGGUGGCCACCAUAAGGCCGCGGUGAAAGUCUGGGGCUCAACCCCAGAUCGGCCGCGGCGACUGUGGGGCUCGGGUACUGUAGAGGCAGGUGGAAUUCCGGGUGUAGCGGUGGAAUGCGUAGAGAUCCGGAAGAACACCCUGUGGCGAAGGCGGCCCCCUGGGCCGG